CGUUAGGUUCUUCUAAGAACCAGCCACCUACCCGGAAGAAUUAUAU
rfam:Oryctes borbonicus contig904, whole genome shotgun sequence.